CUAACAUCGAGUGGGGUUUUGAUGAUGAAAUUAGAGCUUUGGUCACAAGAAAUCUUUUAGGAAGAGGCAUUAUUUUGCACCCCCAAACAAAUUUGACACUGGAGGCUUCCUCCAUUGUGAUAUAAAGCCACAUAACUUUUUGUUGAUUUUUAGCCGAAUGGAAAUUCAGGUAUUUUCUUUUACAUUGCAGGUUGUAGCCUUCUGUUGUUAAUAUUCAAUAUCCACAUUUUAAACUUAUUUCAGAGUGUCUUUUUUUGUUUAAAAGGUUUUCUAUAAACGCACAAAAUCAAUUUUUUUAUAAACACUUGAGAUUCUUAUAUGGUGUCUCUAAUUUGGUUUUGUCAUAAAAAAAGAGUUUAGAAAGGGGAAAAAGUUCUUAUGUUCCAAUAAUACGCAAAUUUGGUAUGCCUGUAGCUAUGUUAUGUGAUUUCUUCUUACACUGAUGGUUUACUUUUGUCUUCCUAACUCUUUACAGUUGUACAGGCAGGGCUUGGCGGAAAUGGGGGUUACUUCUUAGUCAAGUUGAAGGUAAAUUUCCAAUUAUUUUGUUUUUCGUUGAACACCUUUAAAAAUCCACUUAUUGUUCUUCAUCCGAGCUGUCACUGUAUACAAUUACAUUUUAAUGUGUUUGUGUUGAACCACUUAGUGACCUUAUUGCCUAAUUGGGUAAAAAUUAUAUGAUAGUACUUCUACUUAGGGGAGUAUUUAAGUUCUUUAAACUUUACCGAUUUAUAUCUUCAACUAAAAGAUCAUAUGAUUGUUUGGUGUUUUAUUUAGUUCUACAUUAUUUGUGGAGUUUUGCUUUUUCACACACCAUUAACAGUGAGUAUGUAUAUGUCUUCAUGCCAGCCACUUAUAUGUUGUAUAACUAAAUUAUUUUACUUCUGAUUUGUAUGAGGCUUUAG